CCGGCCGGUAUUUUGAAGUAGGCUACCUGAGUCGUGUUUUCUGAGUAGAGGAUAUUUGCUAUCAUCUUCAUACUUUUUUCUGGGAAAGGUAUUGCCUGCAUGUAUUUGUCAGAUAUUUUGCUGUCCCUCCAUUACAGAACAUAUGACACGAAGUUAGGAUUGUUCAUAGUAUACUAGAAGUUUUUGAUUUAAAAAAGUUCAAAAAUUAUAGAAAAACAACCUUAACAUUUUGUCUUUCUAUGGGUGUGUUUCAGGCCCUCUUCCAAC